CCACUGAUAGAGCACCUGGGGAAAGGAUCUGUUCAGCCCUGGGAGCACAGGUGAAGGCAAUUCAUGUGUGUGACCGGAAGGGUUGUACCUCUCUUAGACCUUCUUUAAGGGCUGACUGCCACUGGGAAGGACAUUUGGUUGGAGAUUCGUCCUUGGUGAAGUUCUCCCCUGCGAACCUGGAAUCUUCUGAUACAGUUUUCCAAGAAACCUCAAUUACCCCACUUGACAGAGUCAGACCCUUUUCCAGCAAAUGAACAUGAGACACUAUCUUUGGGAAAAUGUUGUUCUAUCCUGCAAAAGGUUUUCAAUGGCAAGAACGCCUCAAGGAUGGAAAGCCCAACAGGAGCUGAAGCAAGCACUCUGGGGAAAACUGAAGUUUCAAAACCAGAACAUCUAUCCUCUGACAAAUCUGCUGAACUGUGGAGCCUUAUUUCCUGAGUUCCAGGUAUUUCUUUUGGACUAGACACAGUAACACUUGUACAUCAUUCUGAGUCACUGCCUGUGCAUAUGUGUGCGUUACAUCCAUUUUCUCCUGC
ensembl:lncRNA